CCGCACGGACGGAACGUCUGAACCCCACCGCCGCACCGCGCGCGUCCAUCCCCCAAUGCCCCCAGCAGCGGCAGUUCGUCGGGCUCCCUCGCCGGACGCGGCGGGCGGAGCGAGGCUAGCCGCGGAGCAAGCCUCUGGCCCGUGAGAAACAUGUCUCCACAGGAGACACGGCAACGCGCCCUUGUAGAUUGCAACGGCGGAGAGGAGGUUAUUGUGCUGUUCCAUUUGGCUGAAUACGGAAGUUAAUGGUGGUUGAGUGCAAGAAAAGAAAUUUAACUAACACUGUAAAGAUCGAGGAAUAUAGAAACAGAGCUAAUUGACACUAGUGAUGAAAACAGUCUCAUGACUUGUGAAAGCUUGAUGGUCACUGCUUGCUGACUGGUGAGCAGCAAUAGGGCUUGUCUAGAAAGUGAGGUACAGACAUAAGGCAACCUUGCAUUCCUGAUCAGGUAAUAUAUCAGUCUUUUGCUUCCACUAGUGCAGAGGCGGAUCCAUAGGGGGGGCAAAGUAGGCCAUGGCCCCCCCUCAAUUUUGUACACCCUUUUAUGUAUAUGAUUAUUUAGUAUUAAGUGUAGAAAAAAAAUCAAAGUUUUAGAUAGUAUAGAGUCUUGUUCUAAAUCUCUAAAACUAAUAGCUAGUUGCUAAAAUUAGUCGAGAGGUUUAGAAUGGAUCAACUAAUUGUUAGUUAUAUUCCUCAAAUAAAUAUUAGUUGUUAGAUGCCACAACCCAGCUAAAACCAGUUAAUAGUUAGUUAUAAAGGUUUAGAACAUGACAUAAAACAACCAUGUUAUGAGCCUGCUCGUCUGAUCCUCUCGGUCUAGUCCUUGCAUCUACCUGUCUAACUCUAAUCUUUUCGACACCACCUAAACCAGUCUGCUCGUUGUCCUGUUUUCGCCGCCGACCCAUUCCCGAUGCGACGCCACCCGACUUCGCCCCUUCCUGCCGCCUUCGUCCCUUGUUUUGUUUUUACAUGACGUCAAUCCGCUCGACAAGCUAGAUCUCGCUCGUCGCAACGAUAUGACUUGUCCCAUGCGGUUGACGGACAUGGCGAACUAGAAAAUCAUGUCUCUCAUGUGGUCUUUUUGGCCCCCCCUGAAUUUUCGUCCUGCGUCCGCCACUGCACUAGUGGAAUUAGUUUGUAUCAUGUACGAUUGAUUUAUGCUAAUGUCAAAAGCUCCCGAUAACAAUUUAAUGUCAAUGUUUUUUUAACUAAAUGUAAUUUUUUUUUUACAAUGAGUUCGUAAAAUUAAGAUGAAUAGGGUCCUUGCUCGCGGGCAGAACUUAUUCAUAUCUGUUUCGUGUAGCCACAUCUUAAACGAAGGAAAUUCUGAUAUUAAUUAAACUCCAAAAGAACAAGUCAAUGUGCUUGGAUUUCGGAAUCAUCUUGCCAGCUUAUGACAAUAGAAUAGUUGCAAUUCGAUAAUUCACCAAUAUCUUGGAUUGAUGCCAGCUUGAAUAGUUACACUAUGGUACCUUUGCUGGACACAUUUUUCAGUGGUUUUAUAAUUUAAACUAUUCAAUCUCAUGCCUUGAUUUUAUUUUUUUUUGCUGGAAAAGAUGAAAUAUCAUUGCAAUUUUGCCUGUAGGAGCAGUUUGUAUUUAAUGCCUGUCAUGGUGCAAGCACAUUUUCUAAUUUAUGUGGUUAUUUUUAAGGAACAUGUGUUAAUUUAAAAUAUUUUUGAAGUAAAACAAUGUGAACUGUCAACCAAGGGAUUAAAUGUAGCUACUCAGAUAGUCAGAAAAAACACACAGAAGCCUAAGACCUAGCCUUGUGGUGGAGGCACAACAAAUAACUAUCUGUUUCUGGAAGUUUUAACAAACCUGUAAAAAUAUCAGAAAAAAUGAAUAUUCAGAUUGUUGACACUUCAAAAUUGUAAGUGAUUUUCACUGUUUCAUUAUCAUUUUCUUACCUGUUCAAAUUGGACCAAAAUUUUACAUAUGUAAAAAAGAAAUGAGAUUAUCUUCUGGAUUUAAACAUAUGAAGGUGUUCCCCAUCCAUCUGGACGCACAUCAGUGGAAAGUAUGGUUAGUUUCUUCUGCACUUUAAACUUACGUACUUUGUGCCAGUAGACACACUAUACCUGCGAAUGGUUCAAAGGCAAUCCAACCAUUUUUUCUCAAGGUAACCAUGUGCACAGAAAAGUGUAAUGACUCAUCUAUUCUUGAAUCGACAAGUAUUUUUGGGAAGUUGCCCCCUGAUCUGCAGCAAUAAGAUUUAGAUAAGUUAUAAUAUUUAGUGAAAGAUCUUUCUGCAAAAUAAAAAAAGUUUACUUGUGAAGUACUUCAUAAUAUGAAAUUGUGCAGUGUCAUGUUUUUGUUCACAUGAUUAUUAAACUGGAUGCUAAAGACAUCGCUUGAGUAAACCGCAGAGUAGGAACGGGCCUUAGUUGUUCUCUUUGAAGUUGAAUAGAUCAAUACUGCGCCCAUUGAUACGUGAGGGAGAUUGACCCGUAACUACUCUUGGUGACUGAUUGAUGGAAACACGUCAAUUUGGGUUGCUGAUAAACCUGUAAUGUCAUUCAACGUCAGUGUCCAAACAACGACUAAAUCAAUUAAUCUAUUCACAUCAAAGUUGUUUGUAAGAAACUUAGGCACACAAUCGCUUGUUGUUGACAUCCUUACUCCGUGGCCAAGAUUUGUUAGCUAAGCAUUCAUAUAUUAUUCAUAGCAGAACUAACUGGCCUAUAAAAUUACACAUUUCACAUUGGCCAUCCACUUGGAAAAUUGCAGUAUGAGUAGCUAGAAGCUAUAUUUCUUCUAGAUGAAUUCACUCCACACUAGUACAGACCUUCCAUGAGACCAUGAUUAAGAAAGAUGGGUGAGAAGUUUGUUUUCUCCUCGUCACUACAAAGGAAUGCAUGUUUCUUUUAUGUAAUACUGUUACUUUUAUGCUAUCUUGUUUGAUCCACAUGCCAUGAUUUUGUUCCCACUGCACUUUUCUUGGUUAAGCUGCACUUGCAACAAAAACAACAUUUCACAGUCAACAAGUAGCAUUGUUAGUUACUAUAAAUGUUAAUAUCAGUUACUAGUGAAAUAUAUGCCCUAAGUAAUACUUGUAGGUAUAAUGCAGCUCAGCGCUGUUGGGAGGGGGGAGAGGUCAAUCAUUUCUCUUGUUCAAUGGUACACUCACUGUUGUGUAGCGAUUGAAGCAUUCUGGAACUGUGGACGCUAGUGUCUUAGACAGUUGACGUGGAAACUAGGUGAGGCGAAAUUGUCGCUUCAGAAUAUCAUAUAAUUGAAUCUUCUGCUCUGGGUGUAGUAUCUAGGUGUUCUAUUUAUAAACCCCUUCAAACAGGAAGAAAGAAGAAACUGAAAGAUUAUAGUUUAUAUAAUUUUUAUCUUCCUGAAUUAGAAUUGUACCUAUAAACUGAAAGAUGUUUCUUCAUCACCUUCUGUUAAGAAAUUUUCAGUUCUCACAAUCGGUACAAUUGGCUAAAAUUUUAUAAUAGAAGCACAGCUGCCUUUGUAAAUAUCCAAAUUGUUUGUCCGGCCUAGGAUCUAAUUGGUGGUGGUGUUAUAUUUUUUGUUUGGCCCUGGUCUGGUUUCUUUGGACUUCACCUCCCUGAUCUGCAAAUAUCGAUUUAUACUGUGGCCUUUGCAUGCAUACAACAUGCAUACUAUGCACAGUUUCUUCAUAAUGUGUUUAUCGAUUACAGCCUCUUUCUGACUUGAUGGACCUUCUGUGCGGUCUAGACAAUUGUAGUUCACCGCUACGGUUAUCUGGGGAAGUUAGAUGAACCAACACCUCAAGUUUUGCUUUGCAAAGCAUCCUCUUGAAUCUCUCGAUUGCUGGGGAAAUAUUGUUCUGACUUUUUUUUUCUAGGCAAACUUAUGUGAUGAGAGGUUGGUUUUGCUGAAGAAUUAUACUUUUAAUGAAUUCGGAUGACUCAAAUCCAUAUUUCUCUUCUGACAGGUAUCACUCGAGUGUGUAGGUUUUUCCGGGAUGCAGACAGAUCAUGAGAGAUUAGACUGUCUUCGAAGCCAAUGCUGCUGGGAGUUUCUAGUUUAUCAACAGAUUUCCUCUUAGUUGUUGAUCGCAGCAAGAAACGGCUGUCCUUGCUAGCUUGUCAUUUCGCUUUUAGGUGUUCGUAGGUAAGAAAAACAUGCGACAGAACCAGGCAUCGUUGACACUUGUUAGACAGCAACGAUGAUGACAUCGCCAUUUUCUAGAGAACGACGUCAAUGCGGACAAGAAAGCCAAUUGUUUUUUGUUCAAUAGUUUUUUCAUCUCGUAUUCUUGG
rnacentral:lncRNA from 7 species